CCGGCGACCGGCGCACGGGUGAGUAACACGUAUGGAACCUGCCCUAUGCAGGGGGAUAAGCGGAAGAAAUUCCGUCUAAUACCGCGUAACAACGUUGGGAGGCAUCUCCCGAUGUUUAAAGAUUUAUCGGCUGCGGAUGGCCAUGCGGCGCAUUAGCUAGUCGGCGGGGUAACGGCCCACCGAGGCGACGAUGCGUAGGGGUUCUGAGAGGAAGGUCCCCCACACUGGUACUGAGACACGGACCAGACUCCUACGGGAGGCAGCAG
rnacentral:rRNA from 1 species